CGCCCCUACUCAUCUCUGGACUUCAGGCUCCUGACUCAGAUGAGAACCAACAGACCCUAUAAUGGACCAACUCAAAGUCUUGAUCAAAUGGCAGACUGAUGCAAACCUGGAACCUCCUGCAUGUGAAAAAUUCUUUCUUACUUUAAUCUCAUCUAACAAGAUGUGAAAUCCAGGAUGACUGAGGCAGGUGGAUGCUUGAUAGAACACAAGGAGAUGACCAUAUUUGUACUAAGGGGGACAAGGAGUGGCAGCUGGGGAGAUGGCGAAAUGCUGUGUGUCCCGUGCGGUCUUUCCUCUUCUGGAAUUCUCCAAAUCUUCAGUAAGGAUGAAAUUC